rnacentral:lncRNA from 1 species
UUAUAUUUUUAUACAUUAAUAUUUGUUUUUCAUAAUUAGUGUUUUAUAUUUUAGAUAUGUCGUAAUAUAACUAAUUGUAUUCAAAAGAUCCGGAUCGAAUCAGAUAAUAUGGUUAUUUUUGGUACAAAUAUCCAAACCCGUUUCAAAUACAUUGGUUAUUUAGAUAUUUUAGGGUCAUAUACAUCAGAACCAAACUAAUCCAGACUCAAAAGGAUUCAACUCAAAACCUACACAUAAAUUUAUAAUAUUCAAGGAGUGAGUAAUUUUAAAACAAAAUAAAACGAUACCCGAAAAGAACGACUCGUACCUAAGUGGAUAUUUAGUGUUCAUGCCUAACUGAUUUUAUAAACUAAUAUAAAUGAUAUUUUUUAUGUGUUUUGCUAAAUUAAGUGAAACUGAAAGAGUUUUUUUUAUUUAGUAAGCAAUUAUAUUGAGUGAAAAAUUAAGUGACAAUGAAUGUAAUUCAUUUUUAUUAAUUUGAUUUAAGUUAUGAUUUUAUUCACUAAACAUGUUUUUGAAUUAUGUUUUUGGCUACAUAAUUUUCCACUGAUUGAAAAAAAAAAUGUUAUAGUAAAACAAAUUAAAACAAACGCUUAACCUUAUGCAAAACUCAGUUAUUUUACUUUUUUGAUUUUAUAAUUGACACAAAACUAAUACUCCCUCCGUUUUUUAAUAUAAAUCGUUUUACAGCUAUGCACGUAGAUUAAGAAAACCAUUAAUUUUUUAUAUUUUCUAAACAAAAAUAUCAUUAAUUAUUUACCUAACCACAAUUCAACCAAUAGAAAAAUAGAAGAUAUAUUACCAUUGGUCAUACAACAUUAAUUAUUAAUAAAUUUUAUAUAGAAAACCGAAAACGACAUAUAAUUUGGAACAAAAAAAUUUGUCUAAAACGACAUAUAUUAAAAAACGGAGGGAGUAUUGAUUAAUUACUAAAUAAAAUCUACACUAUUAUUAUUAUGGUAAUAUAAUUAAUGAUGUGAAAUAUUGUUAAGACAAUAUAAUUAAUAUGAGUGAAAUAUGGAAAUACAAUUAAUGUAAUACUGCUAUCUUCGUUUCCAAACAAUUUUCAGUUAUAGUACUAUUCAUGUUUCCAAACAUUACUAAAGUGUACUUCAGUUUUAAUAAUAUAGAUA